AGUGAACGCUGGCGGUAGGCCUAACACAUGCAAGUCGAACGGCAGCACAGUAAGAGCUUGCUCUUACGGGUGGCGAGUGGCGGACGGGUGAGGAAUACAUCGGAAUCUACUUUUUGGGGGGGGUAAAGGAAGGGAAACUUACUCUAAUACCGCAUACGACGUACGGUGAAAUUAAGGGAAUCUUCGGACUUGCCUCGAUUGAAGAUGCCGAUGCGGGAUUUGCUAGUGGGGGGGGUAAAGCCCCACCAAGGGGCCGCGCCGUAUCGGGUCGGGGAGAAGGACCAGCAACACUGGAACUGAGACACGGUCCAGACUCCUACGGGAGGAAGCAGUGGGGAAUAUUGGAAAAUGGGCGAAAGCCUGAUCCAGCCAUACCGCGUGGGUGAAGAAGGCCUUCGGGUUGUAAAGCCCUUUUGUUGGGAAAGAAAAGCAGCAGGUUAAUACCCCGCUGUUCUGACGGUACCCAACGAAUAAGCACCGGCUAACUUCGUG
rnacentral:rRNA from 1 species